rnacentral:rRNA from 1 species
GGUUAAGCGACUAAGCGUACGACGUAGGAUGCCCGGCAGCCGAGGGGCGAUGAAGUGCGCUAAUCUGCGAUAAGCGCCGGUAAGGGUGAUAUGAACCGUUAUAACCGGCGAUACCCGAAUGGGGAAACCCAGUGCGAUUCGGGUCACACUAUCAAUAACCGAACUAUAGGUUAAUGAGGCGAACCGGGGAACUGAAACAUCUAAGCACCGAGGAAAAGAAAUCAACCGGAGAUUCCCCAGUAGCGGCGAAAGGAACGGGAGGAGCUCCAGAGCCUGGAAUCAGCAUGUGGUGUUAGUGGAAGUGUCUGGAAAGUCGCGCGAUACAGGGCGACAGCCCCGGUACACAAAAAGCGCGCAUGUGUUGUGAGAGUCGAUGAGAAGGGAAUACCGGUAUCCCUGUCUGACCAUCCUCCAAGGCUAAAUACCCUGACUGAAUCGAUAGUGAACCAAGUACCGUGAGGGAAAGUAGUGCUAAACCCCGGCGAGGGAGUGCGAAAAAGCACCUGAAACCGUGUACGUACGCCAGCAGUGUAUUAACCCUUUCGGGGUGUGACCGCAAAUUUCUUUGUAUAAUGGGUCAGCGACUUAUAUUCCUGUGUUGUUAACUCGAAUAGGGAGCCGAGGGAAACCGCCGAGUCUUAAUUGGGCGUUAAGUUGCAGGGUAUAUAAUCCGAAACCCGGUGAUUCCAGCUUUCAUGGGCAGUAUGAAGGUUGGGUAACACUAACUGGAGUGACCGAACCGACUGGUCGUUGGUAAAUUAGCGGAUUUAACUUGUGGCUGGGUGAAAGCGUCAAUCGCCGGAGAUAGCUGGUUCUCCCCGAAAAGCUACGCGCCUCGAAUUCAUCUCCGGGGUAGAGCACUGUUUCGGCUAGGGGCCAUCCCGGCUUACCAACCCGAUGCAAACUGCGAAUACCGGAGAAUUAUCACGGGAGCAUCAAUACCUAUGGCGCUAACGUCCGCCGUGAAGAGGGAAACAACCCAGACCGCCGCUAAGGUCCCAAAGUCAUGGUUAUGGGAAACGAUGUGUGGGAAGGCCCAGACAGCCGUGAUGUUGGCUUAGAAGCAGCCAUCAUUUAAAGAAAGCGCACAGCCUCACCGGUCGAGUCGGCCUGCGCGGAAGAUGUAACGCCAAACCACGCAACCGAAGCUGCGCGCGACAUCAGGUAGUUGUUGGUAGGGGAGCGUUCUUGUAAGCCUGUGAAGGUGGUCGUGAGGCAUGCUGGAGGUAUCAGAAGUGCGAAUGCUGACAUAAGUAACGAUAAAGCGGGCGUAGCCCGCCUCGCCGGAAGACCGCGGUUCCCGUCCAACGUUAAUCGGGGCAGGGUGAGUCGACCCCAAGGCGAGAGGCCGAAAGGCGUAGCGUCGAUGGGAAACGGGUUAAUAUUCCCGUACUUGGCGUUACUGCGAAGCAACGAGGCUAUGUUGGCCGGGCGACGGCUGUUCCCGGUUUAAGCGUGCGUAGGUGUGUGCGUUCCGUGCAAACUGGGUUCCUCCACUUUAACACUGAGGCGUGACGACGAGGCACUACGGUGCUGGAAGCAACAAAAUGCCCCUGGCCCGGUGAAAAGCCUCUAAGCAUCAGGUAACAUCAAAUCGUACCCCAAACCGACACAGGUGGUCAGGUAGAGAAUACCAAGGCGCUUGAGAGAACUCGCUGCGAAGCGAACCAGUAAAAUGGUGCCGUAACUUCGGGAGAAGGGCAGCUGACACGUAGGUGAAGUGCGAUUUACCAUGGAGCUGAAGUCAGUCGAAGUUACCAGCUGGCUGCAACUGUUAUUAAAAACACAGCAGCGGUGCAAACACGAAAGUGGACGUAUAUUACGGUGUGGACGCCCGCCCGGUGCCGGAAGGUUAAUUGAUGGGGUCGCGCAGCGAAGCCCUGACGAAGCCCCGGUAAACGGCGGCCGUAACUAUAACGGUCCCAAGGUGCGAAAUUCCUUGUCGGGUAAGUUCCGACCUGCACGAAUGGCGUAAUGAUGGGCCGCUGCUCCACCCGAGACUCAGUGAAAUUGAACUCGCUGUGAAGAUGCAGGUACCCGCGGCAAGACGGAAAGACCCCGUGAACCUUACUAUAGCUUGGACACCGAACAUUGAGCCUGAUGUAGGGAAGAUAGGUGGGAGGCUUGAAGCGUGGACGCCAGUCUGCGUGGAGCCGACCUGAAAUACCACCCCUUUAAUGUUUGAUGUUCUAACGUGGACCCGUGAUCCGGGUUGCGGACAGUGUCUGGUGGGUAGUUGACUGGGGCGGUUCCUAAAGAGUAACGGAGGAGCACGAAGGUUGGCUAACCUCGGUCGGACAUCAGGAGUGUUAGUGCGCAAUGGCAUAAGCCAGCUUGACUGCGAGCGUGACGGCGCGAGCAGGUGCGAAAGCAGGUCAUAGUGAUCCGGUGGUUCUGAAUGGAAGGCCACGCUCAACGGAUGUAAAGGUACCCGGGGAUCAGGCUGAUACCGCCCAAGAGUUCAUAUCGACGGCGGUGUUUGGCACCCGAUGUCGGCUCAUCACAUCCCGGGCUGAAGUAGGUCCCAAGGGCAUGGCUGUUCGCCAUUUAAAGUGUACGCGAGCUGGCUUAGGAACGUCGUGAGCAUUCAGUUCGGUCUCAUUCGCCGCUGGAGCACCGAGGGGGCUGCCUCAGUACGAGACCGAGUGGACGCAUCACUGGUGUUCGUUGUCAUGCCAAUGGCACUGCCCGGUAGCUAAAUGCGAAGAGAUAAGUGCUGAAAGCAUCUAAGCACGAAAUCCUUGCCCCGAGAUGAGUUCCCUCCUGAGACUUUAGGGUUCCUGAAGGAACGUUGAAGACGACGACGUUGAUAGGCCGGGUGUGCAAGCGCAGCGACAAGUUGAGCUAACCGGUACCACGAACCGUGAGGCUUAACCUG